rnacentral:tRNA from 1 species
CCGCCCAUAGCUCAAUUGGCAGAGCAGGGGCCUCUUAAGCCCAAGGUUCUAGGUUCAAUUCCUAGUGGGCGGA